rnacentral:lncRNA from 1 species
GAGCCCAGAAAAGCAACGUUCCACCAAAGUCAAGGGAGGCUGGAAUGUCAAAUUGGAGGUGUCUAGGAGUGUCAAAUAUUGCAGAAGGUGUUAAAAAGGACCGAAAAGUGUCUGCUGAGAUUUGCUAUCCAGAAGCUCAAAAUGGCCUCUGCAGAAUAAAUGGAAUGAGCUAGGUGUGGAACUCCAGGCACAGCGGUCAAUUAAGGGCUGUUCAUUAACAUUUCAAGCACUGCAGAUAGGGCAUCAGGUGCAGCAUAUCCACAGAAUUAAAAUGAAAUUUUCUUCUUAUCAUUAUUAUUAUUCAAGAUUUUUUGAAGAAACACGGUGAUGACCCCAGCCCUGAGGAUCUCACUAAUAUUUUAUUGUUCUUACAUGUCACCAGGAGACUCACGCAAGCAAUCUCACAAAAAGCAAUUCAUAACAAUGGAAACUGCCCCCAGUCACUGAGAAAGGAUCUCUUGGGUUUUAAAAGAUCUUUUCAAUCUUUGAAGUAUUCCCUUGGCCUGGCUAGUUUGGUGUCCCUUGAAGGACUUUUUAUAAAACAUGAGACUUCCUCCACAUUAGGCAUUUGAAAUCCAAUCUUUUUUUUUAAAGUUGCAAAAUACAUAUUUUUUGCAGACCAUCUGUUAUUUAGUAAUGUGCAAAUUACCAAUAAAUAAUUCCAGAUUCUUUUUUUGCAAGCAUAGCUAUAAACAAACUGAUCCACAUGCAGAAAUGGAAGUCAUUUUCUCUUUGAAAAUUCAUUAACUUCUGCACGAUUGGAAGAGCUCGGGAGAGAAGCUUCCCGGCAGAUGUCCAUGAGUGUUAUUACUGUACACAAACAAUAACAUGAGGCCAAACACUGACAUUCUUUGCAAAUCUUCCUCUUGUUUAGCAUUCACUUCAGUGGUCUCAUCAUACGGGGUUUAUACGUGUGACUAUAAAACCCUUUAAGAUG